AGAGUUUGAUCAUGGCUCAGAACGAACGCUGGCGGCGUGCUUAACACAUGCAAGUCGAGUGCGCGGUGCCGUAGCAAUACGGUACUGGCGCACGGCGCACGGGUGCGUAACACGUGGGUAAUCUGCCCUCCGAUGGGGAAUAACCCCGCGAAAGCGGGGCUAAUUCCGCAUAACAUUCCUUGGACUCCGGUUUGAGGACUCAAAGCCGCAAGGCGUCGGAGGUGGAGCCCGCGCACGAUUAGCUAGUUGGUAGGGUAACGGCCUACCAAGGCUAUGAUCGUUAGCUGGUCUGAGAGGAUGGCCAGCCACACUGGAACUGAGACACGGUCCAGACUCCUACGGGAGGCAGCAGUGGGGAAUCUUGCGCAAUGGGCGAAAGCCUGACGCAGCGACGCCGCGUGGGGGAUGAAGCUUCUCGGAGUGUAAACCCCUUUCGACCGGGACGAAUGCCCGCAAGGGAGUGACGGUACCGGUAUAAGAAGCCCCGGCUAACUACGUGCCAGCAGCCGCGGUAAGACGUAGGGGGCCAGCGUUGUUCGGAAUUACUGGGUGUAAAGGGUUCGUAGGCGGUGUGGCAAGUCGGGAGUGAAAUCUCUGGGCUCAACUCAGGGGCUGCUUCCGAAACUGCUGUGCUAGAGUGUGGGAGAGGCGCGUGGAAUUGCAGGUGUAGCGGUGAAAUGCGUAGAUAUCUGCAGGAACACCCGUGGCGAAAGCGGCGCGCUGGACCACUACUGACGCUGAGGAACGAAAGCUAGGGGAGCAAACAGGAUUAGAUACCCCAGUAGUCC
rnacentral:rRNA from 1 species